rnacentral:tRNA from 1 species
GGGGAUAUAGCUCAAGGGUAGAGCACUUGCCUAGCAUGUGUGAGGCCCUGGGUUCAAUUCUCAGUACUGCCC